rnacentral:lncRNA from 1 species
AGACCCUGACUUAGAGCGUUUCUCCCUGGAAGAUAAAGCCCCUGGAUGUUUCCCAAGCUUGUUUUCCCUGAUCUUUAAAAAAUACAGCUAGAAAGAAGCUCUUUGUUCUCUAUAGCCAGCAAAAAGCCUUUUUGUUUCUAUACUGUACAACCAGAGAUGCCUGCCUUCCUGUGCCAAGGACACAGAGAUAAAAAUUCAGAAAGAACUCACUCCCCACUCCUGCCUUGUAAAUUUCACCAAGGACACCCGGAAGAGAAGAACUCUUCCCAAGUCCUCCCAACUCUCCUCCCAACUCCUCCCAAGUCUCCUCCCAACUCCUCCUAACUCCUCAGCUAGCUGUUAAAAGCUCCCUACUGUCACCGGGUCGAACUCCCCUGCCCUGCACCAGCAAAGGGACUUCAUCCUCAGCUAGCUGAUAAUAAAACCUCUUGCAGUUUGCAUCAGG